CCUACGGGAGGCAGCAGUGAGGAAUAUUGGUCAAUGGUCGGGAGACUGAACCAGCCAAGCCGCGUGAGGGAGGAAGGUACAGAGUAUCGUAAACCUCUUUUGUCAGGGAACAAAGGCGGGGACGUGUCCCCGGAUGAGUGUACCUGAAGAAAAAGCAUCGGCUAACUCCGUGCCAGCAGCCGCGGUAAUACGGGGGAUGCGAGCGUUAUCCGGAUUUAUCGGGUUUAAAGGGUGCGCAGGCGGUCUGUUAAGUCAGCGGUCAAAGCCCGGGGCUCAACCCCGGCCCGCCGUUGAAACUGGCAGUCUCGAGUUGGAGAGAAGUAUGCGGAAUGCGCGGUGUAGCGGUGAAAUGCAUAGAUAUCGCGCAGAACUCCGAUUGCGAAGGCAGCAUGCCGGCUCCACACUGACGCUGAGGCACGAAAGCGUGGGUAUCGAACAGGAUUAGAUACCCUUGUAGUC
rnacentral:rRNA from 1 species